rnacentral:rRNA from 1 species
UACCAGCUCUCCGAGUGGUAGGGAUGAUUAUUGGGCUUAAAGCGUCCGUAGCCGGCUUAGCAAGUUUCCUGUUAAAUUCAGCGACCUAAUCGUUGAGCCGCGGGAAAUACUACUAGGCUAGGAGGCGGGAGGGGUCGACGGUACUUCUGGGGUAGGGGUGAAAUCCUAUAAUCCCGGGAGGACCACCAGUGGCGAAGGCUGUCGACUAGAACGCGCUCGACGGUGAGGGACGAAAGCUGGGGGAGCGAACCGGAUUAGAUACCCGGGUAGUCCCAGCUGUAAACGAUGCGGGCUAGGUGUUGGGGUGGCUACGUGCCACUUCAGUGCCGCAGGAAAGCCAUUAAGCCCGCCGCCUGGGGAGUACGGCCGCAAGGCUGAAACUUAAAGGAAUUGGCGGGGGAGCACCACAAGGCGUGAAGCUUGCGGUUC